rnacentral:rRNA from 1 species
AUGGGAGGAUUCGCUCCUCCCAUCCCGCAGGAUGACAGCAACUGGGAGAUCCGCGUGGCGGUGCUGUUGAGCCUCUUCUUCCAAAUUGUCCUCAUCUUCGUCGGCCCCAUUCGCAAACGUUCGUCCUCGCCUGUGCUCAGCUUCCUCAUCUGGUCAUGCUACAUCCUCGCCGACUGGGUCGCCGACCUCGCACUCGGCCUCCUCCUCAACAACAUGGGCAACAUCGGCGGCAAAUCCAGCUCCUCCUCUACCAUCGCCUCGGUCACCAACCCUGAUAAUAGCCCCAUCAUCUUCGCCUUCUGGACACCGUUCCUGCUGCUCCACCUGGGGGGCCCUGAUACCAUCACCGCCUACUCCAUCGAGGACAACCAGGUGUGGCUUCGCCACCUCACAGGCUUCCUCUUCGAGCUCUUCUCCGCCUCCGUUAUCUUCUUCUGCUCCCUCAAGGGCAACCCGAUGAUCCCCGCCACUGUCCUCAUGUUCAUUGCCGGCAUCAUCAAGUAUAGUGAGCGCACAUACUCGCUUUACUCUGGCACCGUCAAUGGCUUCAUCAAGAACAUCGCCGACUCUCCUGAACCGGGCCCAAACUACGCCAGGCUGAUGACCGAGUUCGACUCCAAGGAGCAGGCUGGCCUGGACGUCGAGAUCGUCAUAUCCGGCACGGAUGACGAGGCCAUAAAGGGCUUGGACGCCCUGGAGGAAGGCGAGGCCAUGCGCCUGGUGUUCUACUUCAUUCUCAUCUUCCGGCGCCUCUUCGCCAACCUCACCCUUAGCUACAAGGAGCUCAAGAUCAGCCAGGCAUACUUCCUCGAGCGCAAUGAGCUGGGGAACUUGCCGGCCAAUGCAUUCAAGAUCAUCGAGAUGGAGCUCAACCACAUCUACGACAUGAUAUACACCAAGGGCCCCGUCACAUAUAGCCAGGCCGGCUUAUAUCUCCGUUCCAUCGCCUCCGCCUGCCUCGUCUCCUCCCUCCUCCUCUUCUUCUUCCAAGGCGAGAAGGGUAGCUUCACGCGCAUCGACGUCGCCAUCACCUAUGUGCUGCUCGUCGGAGGCGUGGGGCUCGACACCAUUGCGCUCGCCAUGCUCAUAUCCUCCAUCUGGAUGAUCGUCUUACUCGAGAAGACAUGGUGGCUAGCAUGGCUCGCGCGCGCCGUCAGGACAGUGCGCCCAACGCUGCCGCGCUGGUCGGAGAGGACCUCGCAGCUCAACCUCGUGAGCUACUGCCUAGGGCUCUACAGGGUCCGAGCUCUCUUCAGGGUCGCCAAGAUACUGCACAUUCAGGAAAUCUUCGACGAAUCCUUCUUCAUCCGGCACGAGCGCCUCCACUGCAGACAGGGCCAAGGGCCGCAGAAGGGCCUCCUCGAAUUUAUGUUUUAUGGGGUCAGCGCGAGGGCUAAGAACUUGUGCUACAAAGAUGCGAGGGAUGCCAGGAACUUGUACUACAACGACAUGAAGGAAGCGUGCAGCUUGCGCGGCCAGGAAGUCCUCAAGGAGCUUCGCGACGAGAUUGUGGAGAGCCUUAGGCGCCAUAAGGAAGAUGUUGCGGAGGUGGAUGAAAUGCUCGCUCUACUUACGAGCAGCGUGGAGAGGGAGUUCGACGAGUCCCUUCUGCUGUGGCACAUCGCAACAGACAUGUGCUGCCACCCAUUCGGGGCUACGGUGCCGACAGAGAAAGCGAGCAAAAUGAGGUCGAUCGGCGAGACCUUGUCGGAGUACAUGCUGUACCUGCUCAUCAAGCAGCCUCAGAUGCUACCUCCGGGCAACGGGCUGUUCCGGUACCGUGACACAUGCGCGGAGGCGAAGCGGUUCUUCGAGUACGCGGCGUGGCGGGAACCGGACAACAGCGACGCACGGAGGAUGCUGCUGCGGGUGAACACGAGCAAAAAUCCGGCGUUGUUGAAGGGUAACCGGAGCAAGUCGGUGCUGUUCGAUGGCGUGGUCCUGGGUAAGUUGCUGAGGGAGCUGGGAGAGGACCUUAUGUGGGAAGUGGUGGCCAGGGUGUGGGGGGAGAUGCUUGCCUACGCGGCAGGCAAGUGCCGGGGGACCACGCACGUCCGGCAGCUCAGCCGCGGCGGCGAGCUCAUCACCAUUGUCUGGUUCCUCAUGGCGCACAUGGGCCUCAGCGACAUGUAUGAGAUCAACGAGAGAGACGGCGUGGCCAAGCUCAUCGUCCGCGGCCAGUAG